rfam:Ovis aries breed Texel chromosome 17, whole genome shotgun sequence.
UUCCUGGUGGCUCAGAUGGUAAAGUGUCUGCCUGCAAUGUGGGAGACCCGGGUUCGAUUUCUGGGUCGGGAAG